rnacentral:lncRNA from 1 species
AUCAACAUUAAAUGUAGUUUAUUUAUUUGUUUUUUAGCAUUUAUGUGAUACAAUUUAUUUGUAUGCAAACAUUUAACUUCGUACAUUAUUUUCAUAAAAACUUAGUUUUCCAUUUGAGAAUUAGUUGGAUUUCGCACAUGGAUGCGAAAGCAUGACUGCGGUCCAAUUAAUUCUUGAAUUGUCCCAAUGUUUGGACAGUUUGGGAAUGCACAAUUAUGUGCUAUUGUUUGUAGUUCACAGAUUAAGUUUCGAUAAGGAGAAAUUCAGUAGCAUGUCUAUGCAUUCUUCGAGUGUUGCGUACAUAUUUAGUACAUAUGUGCAGCCCUUAAAGAACUGUAGGGAUAUGAUGCCAAAUUUUUUCAAUGUUGAAAUUCAGUAGCAUGUAGCCUUGCAUUCCUAAAUGGGAGAGGACCCUUACCGGAGGCAUAAGGUGGCAUGUUAUAAUUUAAGUGUUUGUAACCAUUGUUAUUUUGUGUUUUUUUUCAUAGGUGAUAUGGACAAACAAUGGAUACAGAAUCCUA